rnacentral:rRNA from 1 species
GACAAACGCUGGCGGCGUGCGUAAAACAUGCAAGUCGGACGGUCGCUUCGGCGGCCGUGGCAGACGGCUGAGUAACGCGUAGGAACCUGCCCUGGUGUGGGGGACAAGCCAUCGAAAGGUGGUCUAAUACCGCAUACGGUCCCGUGCUUUGGUGCGGGAAGAAAGCCUUUGGGUGCACUAGGAGGAGCCUGCGUCCGAUUAGCUAGUUGGUGGGGUAAGGGCCUACCAAGGCGAUGAUCGGUAGCUGGUCUGAGAGGAUGAUCAGCCAGACUGGGACUGGGACACGGCCCAGACUCCUACGGGAGGCAGCAGUUAGGAAUUUUGGGCAAUGGCCGCAAGGCUGACCCAGCAACGCCGCGUGGGGGAUGAAGGCUCUCGGGUUGUAAACCCCUUUUCUCGGGGACGAUAGUGACGGUACCCGAGGAGGAAGCCCCGGCUAACUACGUGCCAGCCGCCGCAGUAAAAC